rnacentral:rRNA from 1 species
UACGUAGGGGGCAAGCGUUGUCCGGAAUCAUUGGGCGUAAAGCGCGUGUAGGCGGCUCGAUAAGUCUGCUGUAAAAGUCCAGGGCUCAACCCUGGAAAGCCGGUGGAAACUGUCGAGCUAGAGUCCGGAAGAGGCGAGUGGAAUUCCUGGUGUAGCGGUGAAAUGCGCAGAUAUCAGGAGGAACACCAAUGGCGAAGGCAGCUCGCUGGGACGGUACUGACGCUGAGACGCGAAAGCGUGGGGAGCGAACAGG